CAAGAAGAAGUGAAUAGCUUCACACAACACCCUGUAACCUACUCAAACACUCUUUGCUCCUCUGAAGACAAAGGCCAUGAUGUGGAAAGCAGCUGUUCUACUGGCUACCUUGGCCCUGGUCAGUGUGAACGCAUUGCCAUCGGUCCUUCCACCGAAUAUCGGACCUGUGAUUCCAGGGGCACCUAGAGAUGUAGACAUCCACACUCCUGAGGUGCAAGAAGCUUUGAACUUCUCCAUCAGUGAAUACAACAAACGGACCAAUUGUGCGUGCAAUUACAAAGUGGAGCGAGUGAACAAGGCCCAGGUCCAGGUUGUCGCAGGUCUGCUUUACCUUUUUGACGUACAAAUUGUUCCUGCCGGCAAGAAGACUGGCACCAGUGACAAGUGUGAGGAGACAAAGCGUCUUUCAUGCUCUUUCCACGUCAUGAGUCGCAAGUGGCUGAAUCAACUUCAACUAACCAAAUAUCUCUGCAGGCAGUAAUUAAAUUGGUGGGAUGUUUCAGACCACAUCGGAUGAAUUUUUUGGAUGGCCAUGCAUCCCGUCAUUACGUUGUCAAUGAUUUUUCCAAGAUAGCUAUUGUGCCAUAAUGGGUCAGUUGGUUACUAUCCUGCACAUAAAGUUGUUUGAAACCAAUUGUGCCUACUUUUCCACUAUUAACACCCUUCCCCAUUUGUCUUUUCAUGAUAAUUGGCUUCAACAUUUUACUGUUAACAUGUGCUUGGAAAAAUGUCUCU